AAAGGAAUCAGGGUUUGUUCAGAAUAACAAGAACAAGAAGGUCUUGAAGGCCAAUGCACAGCUAUGGCAGAUGUUCUGGAGCACUGUGGGAGGCUGAAGAAAGUAUAGCUGCGGAGUCUUCCUAGACUGAAGUGGUUCACCCAUCAUCAUCACAGACACAAGUCAAAGCAGUGACAAGGAGGUGGGACUGGGCCCUGGCCACUCGGGGAGUAGAAAAAAGGGUGAAAAUAUCACUGGCAGGAGGAGCAACGAUCCAUGGCCAGCACAGACGUUUCACUUUGGCCAGAGGGAAUGGCACUGCUGGAACAUGAAGGGGAGCCAUCAGCCUCUACUGGGGGCUUCAGAGUGUAUCUGCAGUAUCACAUGAUGGGCAGUUUCAUGUUUCCGCUCACCUGGACUAUGGGUGUGAGGCACUUGGCCCGACAUUAUUUUGGGUGUUUUUCUAGGAGGUUAACAUCCAGAGGAGUAAAUUGGGAGAUACAGAACACUCUCCAUAAGGUGAGUGGGCCUCAUCCAAUCACUUAAAGGUUUAGAUGGGAUGAAGAGGCUGACUUAU